rnacentral:tRNA from 1 species
GCCUUCGUGGUGUAAUGGUCAGCACACUGAGCCGGUAUUUCAGAGGUCCAAGGUUCGAUUCCCGGCGAAGGAA